rnacentral:rRNA from 1 species
CCUUCGGGGGGGSGUGCAGUAGGGAAUCUUCCGCAAUGGGCGAAAGCCUGACGGAGCAAUGCCGCGUGAGUGAUGAAGGUUUUCGGAUCGUAAAGCUCUGUUGCCAGGGAAGAACGCUUGGGAGAGUAACUGCUCUCAAGGUGACGGUACCUGAGAAGAAAGCCCCGGCUAACUACGUGCCAGCAGCCGCGGUAAUACGUAGGGGGCAAGCGUUGUCCGGAAUUAUUGGGCGUAAAGCGCGCGCAGGCGGUCAUUUAAGUCUGGUGUUUAAUCCCGGGGCUCAACCCCGGAUCGCACUGGAAACUGGGUGACUUGAGUGCAGAAGAGGAGAGUGGAAUUCCACGUGUAGCGGUGAAAUGCGUAGAUAUGUGGAGGAACACCAGUGGCGAAGGCGACUCUCUGGGCUGUAACUGACGCUGAGGCGCGAAAGCGUGGGGAGAAAACAGGAUUAGAUACCCCCC